rnacentral:lncRNA from 1 species
UUAUAAUCAAUGAAAAUAUAGAUUUUAAUAUUUAUGGUGUCAGUGUACCCCUAGACUUAUAUAUUUUUUUAAAUGGUAAAAUGUGGUAAAACAUAUUUUAAUAAUUAUUAACUACAUAUGUGUAGAACUGUAACAUGGUUUAACAGUGUUGUUAAAUAAUAAUUGACAAUUUUUAUAGAAUUUUAAUCAUUAAAAUUACAAAGUGAAUGAUCUCGACUUAAUUAUAAUUUAAUUAUGACAGCAACAGAUUUUUUAAAUUACAAUCAUAUUUACACCAUAAUUAUAAUUAAUUAUCUAUUAAAAUGUGUGUGUGUGUGUUACCAGGUCCACACGCUGCUGCUCCAGAGAGGAAACGUUGUGGUUGAUGGACUGAACCUCCUUCUGUUUGCUCUCCAGGUCCACACUCAGCUCACUGAUCUGUUCACAUCAUGUUUAGUGGACGUAGUGGCUCAGCUUGUGAUUAAUAGAACUAGUGUGUGUGUGUGUGUGUGUGUGUGUGUGUGUGUGUGUGUGUGUGUGUGUGUGUGUGUGUGUGUGUGUGUGCACUGUCUUCACCUUCUUCUCCUGAGCCUGGGCCUGAGCCUUCAGGCUGCUGAUCUGCUGCUGGGACAGAGACGCUGCGUCCUCCUUCUGCUGGGACGCUCUAAGCCUCAGCUGGAGGUCACACACCUCCCUCUCCAGCUCCAUGAUGCGGGAGCGCUCAGACACCGUGGCCACCUGAGGAGGAGGAGGAGGAGGAAGUGUGAGGUAGCUGAUGAUGUCAGAAUAAUUACCUGUGAGUUUUGUACUGGGAACUCUGACACUUUUAUGCAUUAUGAUAAAUCCAACAGUAGUAAUGCUCAGACGAGGCUGAUGUUGUGAACAUGAACUCUGACCUCUUCUCCUCCUCCAGCUGGUUGAGCAGCUCCACCUUGUCUCUAUCAGCUGCUUCUACCAGUGAGCGUAGCUGGUCCAGUUUGGCCUCCAUCUCCACAGCGUACUGGUCCACACAGAACACAGAGUAGAACACAUGGAGAACCCUACCAGGUGAGCUCUAUUUCAUGUAGACUUCAUGUGUUCAGACCUGGUCUCGACCCUUCUUGAUCUGGACCAGCUCCUGCUGCACCUCCCCAGCCUGGCUGGUGGCCUUGGCCACCUCACACCUCUCCAGGUCUCUCUCAGCCAGAAGCUGCUCUAUGUGCUGCUGCUUCUCCUUCAGCGCCUCCUGCAGCGCCGUCGUACCAGAGAUCUUACGGGCGUAGCGCGCUGACGUCUCCGUGAGCUGCAGCGGCACACGGGCGUUAGCUUUGUGCUCAAUUACAAUUGAUAUAUAAUUACAGUUAUGACGUUAUUCUAAUUACAAUUGAAAUAA